AGGCAGGGCUCUGACCCUCUUCCGGUCCCUCCUGGCGUCCCGGCCGGGUCAUGGCCCCUGGCAUCCCUGACAAUACAGUAUGUCGGUGUUACCCAAGACUCACAUUACAUUUGAUUGGAUUCAGCAUGGCAAGAGCAGACAAAAACAGAAGGCUUACAAGAUUGGUUGUUUCUUCAGUGAAUGAUUUUAAAAAGAAAGUUGGCCGAAGUAAAUUGUAUAUUAUUCCUCAUUCCUACAUUUCUCCUCCUAGCCAGGUAAAUUCAAAUUGUUUUCUUUGUUCAUUUCAUGCUAAUGCAUGAGUCAAUAUUUAAUAAACAUUCUUGUAUUUCAAAACAGGAUGCCCCACUGACUCAGAUCACUUUGUCUUCAACUGCAGUCCUCGCCACUAGACCUGCAAUACUCUCACAGCUGACCCUCUGGCAGAAAACAGAUUUAAUGCCCAGCCUUUUGCAACUUUAAUUUGUCCCAUUUCUCCAUCUUUAUCACAUGCAUCACAAUCUAGUGUACCCACAGAUUCUGCCCACCAUACUACAAGGACACCCUUCUUCACCACUUGCUCAUCCAGUUGCUCAGUCCUUAUUACCUGCAAUCCCACCUCAGCCACAGUCUUCUAGUGCACCUGUAGAUUCUGCUGUCCCUGCAAACCUUCUUCCAGUACAAUCCACCAUACCUUAUAAUCAGCCUUCUCCAGCAUCAUUUCAUUCUUUGACACAAUCCUGUUUCUCUUCUUUCCAACCACCUAUACAGUUAUUUUCACAUACAGAGCCUUCCCAGGAAAUUCACCAUCCUCAUACACUUUUCAUUAGACCCCAAACAGCAUCUUCUGGAUCAUCAGUCCAUCUUCCACGUUUCUCAGAAAAUGCAGAUGAUGCUGGUUCUGUGAUCCCAAUUCAGGCUACCAGGGUCAAAUUCAGAGGAUGAUGUUGCUGCUUCUGAGGAGGUGCGAGCGGGAUCUCCAGUUGUUACUUACAGCGGGGAUAGACAAUCACAUCAUUCUGCGAACAGUGAGAACAUCUCCAGCAGUAGGUAUGUAUUAGAUAUUUAUGUAAUAUUGAGUGAGUUCAAAUGUCAAACUUGAAAUUAUGAACUUCCCCUUUGAAACUAGAGGGUCUGGAGAGGACACGGAUCACUUGAAUGAUUUGUAACUUCACGAGAUUGUGGCCCCCCUAGAUUUAGACCACUCCUGUCUACUCCCCAUUUGUACAUCUUGAUGACUUUGGAAGAGUCACCAAAUCUCGGCAUUUAACUCCAACCAAAAAUUAAAAUAAAGAUGGUAUGCAUGCCUAGCAACAGUAAAAAUGUGAAUAGGGGGCUUUUACGCUAUGCAGAGGAUAUAAAUGGAGUGACACUGUAUGUGGUAGGUUGACAAAUAGUUUUAUGAAUACAUUUUAUGCUACAGUUUUUAAAAAAUAUACUGAGUUUUGUUUCUUUCUUAUUGCAGCUUAGGAAAGCCUUCUUAAUUAAUGACUCAGACUCUGAGGAUGACAUAGUCGUGUUGGGCUCCCCUGUUAGAACCUCUG